rnacentral:rRNA from 1 species
AAACCGGAGCUAAUACCGGAUAAUAUAUUAACCGCAUGGUUCAAUAGUGAAAGACGGUUUUGCUGUCACUUAUAGAUGGAUCCGCGCCGCAUUAGCUAGUUGGUAAGGUAACGGCUUACCAAGGCAACGAUGCGUAGCCGACCUGAGAGGGUGAUCGGCCACACUGGAACUGAGACACGGUCCAG